CGGCUGCCAGGAUUUUGGAAAUUCCAUAAAUAUAUAUAUAUCCAUACGCGGUUAACUUUCUGCCCUAUGCCCUACUCAUUACGAACUCCCAUAUCGCCAAAGCCUAGCAGGGUUUGAUUGAUAUCCAUCCACUAUCUCACCGCGCUCAAUCGUUCAAAAGUCGGCGGAAUAUGAAUGAAUCGAAUAUAAUAAAAGGCAGUCCGGACCUCUGUCAGGCAGAAUAUCACUGCGUUCCUCCCCACACCCCCUCAAAUCGUCGUAGGUAGAUAAAUAAACGGAGAAACACACCCGCAGACUCGCAUUGGCCUCUGGCCUCAGGCCCAUUCUGCCAAACGAUCACCACAUUAUACCCUACCUGCCUGCCUGCAAGUGCGGCCCUCCAAAAAAACGAAAAAAAAACCCUCCAACCUUUAGGUGCCAGUGUGCCGAGAGGUUGUAUCUAAGUUUAGUAGCUCAAAGAGCUUCGACGUGCACCCCGCGAUGGGAUCAUAGCUCCGUCAUCACUUAAAUCAACUUUUUUCUUUUGGUUGCUUUUGUUUGGGUGUAUGCGAUGCACGGCAAAUCACUACAGGGUGAACGAGAGAACUGAGACAUUCAUGUAAAACGCAAGCAUGCCAAGUGGACUGGUUGGGGUAGUAUAGUAUGCAAGGAAACAAGCACCGUACUACCGUAGAAUAAUAUCAACAUUUAUCUUGUACGGUAGGCUUGAUAUCAUACCUGGAUAUAUAUAUAUAUAGAUAUAUAUAUAAAGCGCUAUCCAUUCUUCAACAAAGAGCUUUUCUAAACUGCAUAUCAAACAAAGGCCCGUAUCGUGCAGAGUUGG
rnacentral:sRNA from 2 species